rnacentral:rRNA from 1 species
CCUACGGGGGGCAGCAGUGAGGAAUAUUGGUCAAUGGACGAGAGUCUGAACCAGCCAAGUAGCGUGAAGGAUGACUGCCCUAUGGGUUGUAAACUUCUUUUAUAUGGGAAUAAAAUGUUCCACGUGUGGGAUUUUGUAUGUACCAUAUGAAUAAAGAUCGGCUAACUCCGUGCCAGCAGCCGCGGUAAUACGGAGGAUCCGAGCGUUAUCCGGAUUUAUUGGGUUUAAAGGGAGCGUAGGUGGAUUGUUAAGUUAGUUGUGAAAGUUUGCGGCUCAACCGCAAAAUUGCAGUUGAGACUGGCAGUCUUGAGUACAGUAGAGGUGGGCGGAAUUCGUGGUGUAGCGGUGAAAUGCUUAGAUAUCACGAAGAACUCCGAUUGCGAAGGCAGUUCACUGGACUGCAACUGACACUGAGGCUCGAAAGUGUGGGUAUCAAACAGGAUUAGAUACCCGGGUAGUC